rnacentral:tRNA from 1 species
GCGGGUGUGGCGGAAUGGCAGACGCACUAGACUUAGGAUCUAGCGUUUAAUAAAACUUGCAGGUUCAAGUCCUGUCACCCGUA